UACGUAGGUGGCAAGCGUUGUCCGGAUUUACUGGGCGUAAAGAGCGCGCAGGCGGUCGUUCAAGUCGCGUGUGAAAGCCCCCGGCUCAACUGGGGAGGGUCACGCGAUACUGAUCGACUCGAAGGCAGGAGAGGGUAGUGGAAUUCCCGGUGUAGUGGUGAAAUGCGUAGAGAUCCGGAAGAACACCGGAGGCGAAGGCGGCUUGCUGGGCGUGAUCUGACGCUGAGGCGCGAAAGCGUGGGGAGCGAACAGG
rnacentral:rRNA from 1 species